GUGAAACCACAUGCAUGGGCAGGGGUCCACAUGGGGUGGAUCCACCCCUCUUAGUCUUGUCCUGUGGUGGUCCUGAGCCAUGUCUCCCCCAUCUCGUUUGUACAUCAGCACCACAGCCUGGCAUCCUGCUCAAUAUGCUUGGGCCAGUUUGUGAUUUUUCAGGAGGAUUGGAAAAGUGCUAAUGCUUUAGGAGGUGGCAGUGACAGAAAGCUGGAAGACUUCUCUGAAGAACAGGAUGAGAGGGGAAUGUGGGGCCUGUGUGCCAGGUGUCUGCCAUCACUGCCAGCCCCUUGGUCUGGAGACACAGGACCAAUACUUGGAGAUGAACAUCAAAGGAUCAUCUGAGUCCUAAUCCAGCCUGCAACCCGACUUCAACUUCCUCAGUGACAGGAGCAAAAGAGAGAGACGCCCAGGACUUGUAGGAGCUGCAGGAGGACCCUUUCCCUUCCGCAUGAGGAGAGGCAUGAGGGUGUGAAAUCUGACCAGCUAGAGUGAUUUUGUAACCACCAGAUAAGAAACUGCAGCUGCUGAGGGGCCACUCUGAGCAGUCCAGGAAUGAAGUCAACACCACAAAAGGCAGACGAGCGAGAUGGUGAGAAACCAGGUCCUGGGGUAUCCUUUGAGGCACUGGACCAAGUCUGACCUGAGGUCUGUCUGACUACUGGACUCUUGUUAUGUGAACGAAUACAUGUUUUUCAUUGUCUAA